rnacentral:rRNA from 1 species
UGACGAGUGGCGAACGGGUGAGUAAUGUAUCGGAACGUACCAUCCAGUGGGGGAUAACGUAGCGAAAGUUACGCUAAUACCGCAUAUUCUGUGAGCAGGAAAGCAGGGGAUCGCAAGACCUUGCGCUGAUUGAGCGGCCGAUAUCAGAUUAGCUAGUUGGUGGGGUAAAAGCUCACCAAGGCGACGAUCUGUAGCGGGUCUGAGAGGAUGAUCCGCCACACUGGAACUGAGACACGGUCCAGACUCCUACGGGAGGCAGCAGUGGGGAAUUUUGGACAAUGGGGGCAACCCUGAUCCAGCCAUGCCGCGUGAGUGAAGAAGGCCUUCGGGUUGUAAAGCUCUUUCGGCCGGGAAAAAAUCGCAUGGGUUAAUACCCUGUGUGGAUGAUGGUACCGGAAUAAGAAGCACCGGCUAACUACGUGCCAGCAGCCGCGGUAAUACGUAGGGUGCGAGCGUUAAUCGGAAUUACUGGGCGUAAAGCGUGCGCAGGCGGUUUUGUAAGACAGGCGUGAAAUCCCCGGGCUCAACCUGGGAACUGCGCUUGUGACUGCAAGGCUAGAGUAUGGCAGAGGGGGGUGGAAUUCCACGUGUAGCAGUGAAAUGCGUAGAGAUGUGGAGGAACACCAAUGGCGAAGGCAGCCCCCUGGGCCAAUACUGACGCUCAUGCACGAAAGCGUGGGUAGCAAACAGGAUUAGAUACCCUGGUAGUCCACGCCCUAAACGAUGUCAACUAGGUGUUGGGAGGGUAAAACCUUUUAGUACCGGAGCUAACGCGUGAAGUUGACCGCCUGGGGAGUACGGCCGCAAGGUUAAAACUCAAAGGAAUUGACGGGGACCCGCACAAGCGGUGGAUGAUGUGGAUUAAUUCGAUGCAACGCGAAAAACCUUACCUACCCUUGACAUGUCCAGGAGCCUGAAGAGAUUUGGGUGUGCCCGAAAGGGAACUGGAACACAGGUGCUGCAUGGCUGUCGUCAGCUCGUGUCGUGAGAUGUUGGGUUAAGUCCCGCAACGAGCGCAACCCUUGUCGUUAAUUGCCAUCAUUCAGUUGGGCACUUUAACGAGACUGCCGGUGACAAACCGGAGGAAGGUGGGGAUGACGUCAAGUCCUCAUGGCCCUUAUGGGUAGGGCUUCACACGUCAUACAAUGGUCGGUACAAAGGGUUGCCAACCCGCGAGGGGGAGCCAAUCCCAGAAAGCCGAUCGUAGUCCGGAUUGCAGGCUGCAACUCGCCUGCAUGAAGUCGGAAUCGCUAGUAAUCGUGGAUCAGCAUGUCACGGUGAAUACGUUCCCGGGUCUUGUACACACCGCCCGUCACACCAUGGGAGCGGGUUCCGCCAGAAGUAGGUAGCCUAACCGCAAGGGGGGCGCUUACCACGGCGGGGUUCGUGACUGGGGUGAAGUCGAAACAAGGUA